rnacentral:rRNA from 1 species
UGGGGAAUUUUGGACAAUGGGCGAAAGCCUGAUCCAGCCAUGCCGCGUGAGUGAAGAAGGCCUUCGGGUUGUAAAGCUCUUUUAGUUGGAAAGAAAGAAUUAUAGUUAAUAGCUAUAAUUUAUGACGGUACCAACAGAAAAAGCACCGGCUAACUACGUGCCAGCAGCCGCGGUAAUACGUAGGGUGCGAGCGUUAAUCGGAAUUACUGGGCGUAAAGGGUGCGCAGGCGGCCAUGCAAGUCAGAUGUGAAAGCCCCGGGCUUAACCUGGGAAUUGCGUUCAAUACUACCGGACUUGAGAGCGAUAGAGGAAAAUGGAAUUCCCGGUGUAGUGGUGAAAUGCGUAGAUAUCGGGAGGAACACCAGUGGCGAAAGCGAUUUUCUGGAUCGUUUCUGACGCUCAGACGCGAAAGCUAGGGUAGCAAACGGGAUUAGAAACCCCAGUAG